CCUACGGGAGGCAGCAGUGAGGAAUAUUGGUCAAUGGCCGGGAGCCUGAACCAGCCAAGCCGCGUGAGGGAAGAAGGUACCGCGUAUCGUAAACUUCUUUUGUCAAGGGACAAAUUCGGGGCCUAUACCCCGGCUGAGGGUCCCUGAAGCAAAAGCAUCGGCUAACUCCGUGCCAGCAGCCGCGGUACUACGGAGGAUGCGAGCGUUAUCCGGAUUUAUUGGGUUUAAAGGGUGCGCAUGCGGGCUGUUACGUCAGCGGUAAAAGCCCGGGGCUCAACCCCGGCGAGCCGGUGACACUGGCUGUCUUGAGAUGGAGAGAAGUACGCGGAAUGCGCGGUGUAGAGGUGAAAUGCUUAGAUAUUGCGCAGAACCCCGAUUGCGAAGGCAGCGUACCGGCGGCGCACUGACGCUGAGGCACGAAAGCGUGGGUAUCGAACAGGAUUAGAUACCCCUGUAGUC
rnacentral:rRNA from 1 species